UACGUAGGGUGCGAGCGUUAAUCGGAAUUACUGGGCGUAAAGCGUGCGCAGGCGGUUCGCCAAGUCAGGUGUGAAAUCCCCGGGCUUAACCUGGGAAUUGCGCUUGAAACUAGCGGGCUUGAGUGUGGCAGAGGGCGGUGGAAUUCCGGGUGUAGUGGUGGAAUGCGUAGAGCUCCGGAGGAACACCAGUGGCGAAGGCGGCCGCCUGGGCCGGUACUGACGCUGAGGAGCGAAAGCGUGGGGAGCGAACAGG
rnacentral:rRNA from 1 species